UACGGAGGGUGCAAGCGUUAUCCGGAUUUACUGGGCAUAAAGGGCGCGUAGGCGGUCGUGCACGUCGAGGGUGAAAUCCCCGGGCUUAACCCGGGAACUGCCUUCGAUACGGCGCGACUGGAGUGCGGGAGGGGAGAGUGGAACUCCUGGUGGAGCGGUGAAAUGCGUAGAUAUCAGGAGGAACGCCGGUGGCGAAAGCGACUCUCUGGUCCGCAACUGACGCUGAGGCGCGAAAGCCAGGGGAGCAAACGGG
rnacentral:rRNA from 1 species